rnacentral:lncRNA from 1 species
AUCGGAUAAUUUCUCAGAGGUUUUAAACGUUCAGAAUUUGAGUUUGCAUGCAGAAUGGUAGGUUACAGAAUAAGCAACAUACUGUAUUACAUCCAGAGUACAGCCCGAUGUGCUAGGCGCGCCAAGUCCGUGAGGACACGAGGAACUGACCCAGUCAACAGGGCUAAUCUGUACCGGCCAUAUGGGGCCUGCACCUCCUCCUGGGCUCCUGCUCC